rnacentral:rRNA from 1 species
GACGAACGCUGGCGGCGUGCUUAACACAUGCAAGUCGAACGAUGAUGCUGGAGCUUGCUCCAGUUGAUUAGUGGCGAACGGGUGAGUAACACGUGAGCAAUCUGCCCUUGACUCUGGGAUAACUGCGGGAAACUGUAGCUAAUACCGGAUACUUUCACCGGAAGGCAUCUUCUGGUGAUGAAAGAAUUUCGGUCAGGGAUGAGCUCGCGGCCUAUCAGCUUGUUGGUGAGGUAACGGCUCACCAAGGCGACGACGGGUAACCGGCCUGAGAGGGUGACCGGUCACACUGGGACUGAGACACGGCCCAGACUCCUAUGGGAGGCAGCAGUGGGAAUAUUGCACAAUGGGCGCAAGCCUGAUGCAGCAACGCCGCGUGAGGGAUGAAGGCCUUCGGGUUGUAAACCUCUUUUAGCAGGGAAGAAGCGAAAGUGACGGUACCUGCAGAAAAAGCACCGGCUAACUACGUGCCAGCCGCCGCAGUAA